GACGUAGGGGGCCAGCGUUGUUCGGAAUUACUGGGUGUAAAGGGUUCGUAGGCGGUGCGGCAAGUUGGGGGUGAAAUCUCUGGGCUUAACCCAGAGGCUGCUUCCAAAACUGCUGUGCUUGAGUGUGGGAGAGGCGCGUGGAAUUGCAGGUGUAGCGGUGAAAUGCGUAGAUAUCUGCAGGAACACCCGUGGCGAAAGCGGCGCGCUGGACCACUACUGACGCUGAGGAACGAAAGCUAGGGGAGCAAACAGG
rnacentral:rRNA from 1 species